CCUACGGGAGGCAGCAGUAAGGAAUAUUGGACAAUGGUCGCAAGACUGAUCCAGCCAUGCCGCGUGCAGGAUGACAGCCCUAUGGGUCGUAAACUGCUUUUGUGCGAGAAAAAACCCCUCUACGUGUAGAGGGCUGAUUGUAUCGUAAGAAUAAGGAUCGGCUAACUCCGUGCCAGCAGCCGCGGUAAUACGGAGGAUCCAAGCGUUAUCCGGAUUCAUUGGGUUUAAAGGGUGCGUAGGCGGAAUGAUAAGUCAGUGGUGAAAUCCUGCAGCUUAACUGCAGAACUGCCAUUGAUACUGUCAAUCUUGAGUACAUUUGAUGUGGGCGGAAUGUGUCAUGUAGCGGUGAAAUGCUUAGAUAUGACACAGAACACCGAUUGCGAAGGCAGCUCACAAAACUGUAACUGACGCUGAGGCACGAAAGCGUGGGUAUCAAACAGGAUUAGAUACCCUGGUAGUCCACGCUGUAAACUAUGAUUACUCGAUGUUUGCGAUACACUGUAAGCGUCUAAGCGAAAGCGAUAAGUAAAUCCACCUGGGGAGUACGCUCGCAAGAGUGAAACUUCAAAGGAAUUGACGGCGNGAGAGNGCGACGGACGACAACAGGGAAGAAGG
rnacentral:rRNA from 1 species